rnacentral:rRNA from 1 species
GACGAACGCUGGCGGCGUGCCUAACACAUGCAAGUCGAGCGCAGUGAGUACUACGGUACGAACUUAGCGGCGGACGGGUGAGUAACGCGUGGACAAUCUACCCUGUAGACUGGAUAACACCUCGAAAGGGGUGCUAAUACCGGAUAAUGUCGAGAAGCGGCAUCGCUUUUCGAAGAAAGGAGAGAAUCUGCUAUAGGAGGAGUCCGCGUCCCAUUAGCUAGCUGGUGAGGGUAACGGACCACCAAGGCGACGAUGGGUAGCCGGCCGGAGAGGGUACACAGCCACACUGGAACAGAGACACAGUCCAGACUCCUACGGGAGGCAGCAGUGGGGAAUAUUGUGCAAUGGGGGAAACCCUGACACAGCAACGCCGCGUGAGCGAAAAAGGCCUUCGGGUUGUAAAGCUCAAUAGUAUGGGAAGAUAAGUACGGUACCAUACGAAAGCCCCGGCUAACUACGUGCCAGCCGCCGCAGUAAAAC